rnacentral:rRNA from 1 species
CCUAACUAUAAGUGGCUCUGGAAAGCCAGCAUUCCGUUGAAAAUCAAAAUAUUUUUGUGGCAGCUUUUCCAAAAUGUUGUGUUGACUCGGGAUAACUUACGGAAGAGGAAUUGGCCUGGGAACCCUAUUUGUUCUUUCUGCACCAGUGUAGAAACUGCAAACCAUUUGUUCUUUACAUGUUCUCUUGCUAGAACUAUCUGGGGGACGUUGGGCCUCACGGCUGGAGCAUCCUGUUGCCCACGAUCGCUAUGGCAAAGUUGGGCGUGGUUGUAUAAAUUUUUCCCUGGAGGAAAAAAGUUUUACAUGAUGAUUAUUGCUGCUUUGUGCUGGGGGAUCUGGUGUCUCCGAAAUAAAGUUACCUUUGACAAGUAUAAUGCUCGCUCUCCUUUGGAGGCUGUUUUCAGUGCUUGUUCUUUUAUGUUGUAUUGGGCAGGGCUGCUAAAAGGAGAAGAUAGAUCGAAGUUUCAGGCGGGCGUGAAGAGACUAGCGUAUGUGGCAGCAGCUCUGGCGGACAGGAACCAAUCGCGAGGUGUGAUGAUGUUGAAAGAUGAAGAUGGGAUACAGAUCGGCUAA